ACCUACGGGGCGCAGCAGUGGGGAAUAUUGGACAAUGGGCGCAAGCCUGAUCCAGCAAUGCCGCGUGUGUGAAGAAGGCCUGAGGGUUGUAAAGCACUUUCGGUGAGGAGGAAGAGGUGUGUGUUAAUACCACGCACUGAUGACGUUACUCACAGAAGAAGCACCGGCUAACUCUGUGCCAGCAGCCGCGGUAAUACAGAGGGUGCAAGCGUUAAUCGGAAUGACUGGGCGUAAAGGGCAAGUAGGUGGUUGUUUAAGUUGGAGGUGAAAUCCCCGGGCUUAACCUGGGAACUGCCUCCAAGACUGAAUGACUAGAGUAUGGGAGAGGAAAGUGGAAUUUCCGGUGUAGCGGUGAAAUGCGUAGAUAUCGGAAGGAACACCAGUGGCGAAGGCGACUUUCUGGCCUAAUACUGACACUGAAUUGCGAAAGCGUGGGUAGCGAACAGGAUUAGAUACCCCGGUAGC
rnacentral:rRNA from 1 species